rnacentral:lncRNA from 1 species
GUUGACUAACAUGAAAUGACUUUUCUACCCUUAUGAAGAUACUUAGUUAAUCAAUUCCCAAAAUUCAUCUUCCCCCAAUUCGCAAAUCAGACUCACUCUCCAAAAUCCUUAUCCACUCCCAAAAACCCUAGAAAUCAAUUUUGUCUGCGAAUCUCCAUUUUGCUGUGCAAAUCGUGAAAUAUACUUGCAACAAACACCAUGUUUGUGUCGUGAAACACCAACUCGGU